rnacentral:lncRNA from 1 species
CUUAGAAGUUGUCAUCCUUUUCUCUUUUCUCUUGUGGACCCUGAGGAUUGGACCCAGGACUCGCGUGCCAAGUGCUCUCUCAACUGCUGUGCUUCUGCAGGCCGAUGUCUGUCUUCCCCUGCUGCUGGAGGCUGCGGUGAUGGCUUCGCUCCGUGGUAGUCCUGGGGAUGUGGCCACCGUGUCAAGAUGUGGGUUGCUUCAAAUGGUUUGAACAAAGCGUGCAGGAUGAGAGUCUUCCCUCACACCUCUUUGGCUAGCCCCACAAGAAGCAACUGUUUAUUUGCAGAAGCAACUUUUGCCAUGGAAGGGCUGCUAGAGGGAGCAGGUAAAGUACAAUGCAUCCAAAGUUGGGUUUUGGGUAAACUUGUCCAAAGUUCAAGUAUUGCUCAGGACAUACUUCUACUAAAAAUGUGUUUGUUGUUUUUCUGCAAUUCAAAUGUAACUGGGUGUCCUGUGUUUUAUCUGGCAGUCCCAGGUCUAGGCCCAGUGAACUACCCUUCAUAGCUUGCUGGAGACUGCUGCCCCUACUGCCAUUCAAAGUAAGGAUGAAGACUUGACUACCACACCAUGUCCACGGCUGGCAACUAGACAACUGCAUGGCUGGGCCAAGGUUUGACCAAUAAAACAGCUAAGUGAACACUAAGGCUAAGCUUACAGUUUUAAGAGUGCAACUCCACAAUCCUUUAUCUUUAAUUUCAAAAGGAAAAGUCCUUCAAAAAUAGAAAUUUUUCUGUAACUCACUUGGUAGCCAACACCUGACCUAUAUGAUGCUGUUUAUUGUCUUUACUUAUCUCAUUUUGUGUAUAUCGUCACACUCUUUGCUACAGAAAUAUUUAUUUGUUUGAUCAUGGUGUGGUGCUCCAUAUCCCCACAUCAAGGGUUUAGAGAGCUGCAUUGCUUUUUUUAAAAAUAAAAAAUUCUGAAUUCUGAAUCUGAUUUUAAGAGUUUCAGAUAAAGAAUUAUGACCAAACAGAAACAAUAUUCAGAAGGACUUUGGGAAUGUAUUGUCUAAUGCAGUAGCCAUUAGCCAAAUGUGGUCACAUGGAGCCACUGACAAGCACCUAGUAUAAGCUUGGAUGUGCUGUAAGUGUAAAUAUUCAUCGAGUUUCAAAAACUUAACAUGGAAGAAGAAUGUGAAAUAAUCAUUACAUGUUGAAAGAAUACUUUGCAUAUUGGGUCAAAUAAAUUAUUAAAAUUAAUUUCAACUAGCUUUUCUUAUAUUUCUAGUGAACAGGACUGCUUUUUUUUUUUUGUACCGGGGAUUUAACUCAGGUCCUUGUGGUUGUGAGGCAGGCAGCAGAACCACUGAGGUAAAUCCCUGGCCCAGGACUAGUUUUGAGAAUUCAUCCUCCAGUUGAGAAAAAUGGAUGAGAAAGUGACUUGGGUUAUGUGAGUAGUUAGUUGUAGAAUAGAAGCAAAACUGGGAUUUUUUUUUGACUCUUUGCUCUUCAUUUCCCCUUUGGAAGAACUAAGGGCUCUACAUUUGGUGCUGGCUAAGACAAUUUUCAGUAUCUAAUGGAGUAUUUGAAGAUCUUGUUGACUAAAUCAGGGAAAUCAAGCACUAACUUGGAACCAAUGGUUUCAUGUAUGUCAUAGUAUGACUGAGAGAAGCCAAUAAAAGAUCAGUUUAUGAGUUUUGCAUGGUAAGAUAUUUCUCAACAGGUUCAGAGCAAUAGAUUUCAUGUAGAGACUGAGGUAAAUUCUUUCAUCCACACUCUUGGAAAUAGAUCAGGGCUGAAAAAUAAUCACACCUUCUUUGGGAAAAACUGGGAUGUGUCCCACCUUCCUGACUGGCAAAUUAUGCAAAGGGUCAGUGCUUUCAGAAGGACAAACUCUUUUCUUUCUCUCAUUAAUCUUGUCGGUACAUUUUAGGUAUAUAAUAUGAUGACACUCAUCAUUUGGAAUUUGUACCCUUACAUGACAUAUCUUGGUUACCUUUUCCCCCCAUCCCCCUGCCCACCUUUCAACCCCUCCACCCCUCCCUAUUUACAGAGACUUUGUUUCCAAUUUUUCUUUUUCUCAUAUUUAUUCCUUUUCCUUCUUUCCUUUCCCCGACCUCUCCCACUUCUCCUUCCCCUUUGGACCUUUUCUUCCUAUUUCAUAUUAUCUAUUAUACAUUUUGAUCCUUAUUUACACUUUCAGUUUCUCACACCAGAGAAACUAUUCAGUAUUUACAUGUGUGUCCUAUUAAUUUAACUUGAGUAUAGCCUCAAUGUGUGUCCAUUUAGCUAUAUAUAUAUUUUUUUGUUUUGUUUUUUGAUUUUUUGAGAUAGGGUCUCACUAUGUAGCCCAGGCUGGUCUCGAACUCACAGCAAUUCUCCUGCCUCAGCCUCCCGAGUGCUGGGAUUACAGGAGUGUGCCACCAUGCCCGGGCUACAUUUAGCUAUAAAUAACUUUAGUUUCUCAUUCUUUAUGGCUGAGUAGGACUCCAUUUUACAUUAAAAAAAACAUAUUUUCU